UAAAGAGGGUGCAAACGUUGCUCGGAAUCAUUGGGCGUAAAGCGCACGUAGGCGGUCCAGCAAGCGGGGAGUGAAAGCCCUCGGCUUAACCGAGGAAGUGCUUUCCGAACUACUGGGCUUGAGUACGCAAGAGGGUCGCGGAAUUCCCGGUGUAGAGGUGAAAUUCGUAGAUAUCGGGAGGAACACCAGUGGCGAAGGCGGCGACCUGGGGCGAUACUGACGCUGAGGUGCGAAAGCGUGGGGAGCAAACAGG
rnacentral:rRNA from 1 species